CAGCAGCCGCGGUAAUUCGUAGGGGGCAAGCGUUGUCCGGAUUUACUGGGCGUAAAGAGCGUGUAGGCGGCCAAGCAGGUCUGUUGUGAAAACUGGAGGCUCAACCUCCAGACGUCGACAGAAACCGCUCGGCUAGAGUCCGGAAGAGGAGAGUGGAAUUCCUGGUGUAGCGGUGAAAUGCGCAGAUAUCAGGAAGAACACCAAUGGCGAAGGCAGCUCUCUGGGACGGUACUGACGCUGAGACGCGAAAGCGUGGGGAGCGAACAGGAUUAGAUACCCUGGUAGUCCACGCCGUAAACGAUGGGUGCUAGGUGUGGGGGGUGUCGACUCCCUCCGUGCCGCAGCUAACGCAUUAAGCACCCCGCCUGGGGAGUACGGCCGCAAGGCUAAAACUCAAAGGAAUUGACGG
rnacentral:rRNA from 1 species